UCACUCGUGGUUCUCUUCAGAUCGUAUAAAUCUUUCGCCUUUUACUAAAGAUUUCCGUGGAGAGGAAGCAAUCUGAGUCUUUACCAAUUUUUUUGAAGCCCUGCUUUUGUGGGGCU